AAAUUUUGAUACCUGCCAAUUUAGCAGCAGAAACUGAUCUAAUAAUUUUAUCAGAAACCUUUUGUUAUGUUACAUAGACACAACUUACCCCAACGUGUUACUCUUUGAUUGAUUGCUUAUUGCUGCUAUUUGCUAACGCACACCUAUACCAGCUGGCCGCAUUUUUCUACAAUACAUCUAUACUAGUUUUUCUAUCUCUUUAGUUGAACAACAGUUGAAGCUAAUCCUACUUCAUUAAAGCCUUUCUUCAUUACUCAUUGUGCAGCGAUUUCGGUAAUUGAGCUUGUGUCUGGGCUACUAUUGUAUUAAACUAGGCUAUACGUUUGUAUGCACUGAGGAUCCUUAAUUACAGCGUGGCACGAACCUGUGACUUAAGUUGUUGGCUAGCCUAGUUUGUUUUUAUUGGAGGAAUCGAAUUCUAGGGCAAGCUAUGGUAGUCAAAGAUCUUACACCUCGGUAGUAACUGAGCGGCAUGUAUAAAAAGAAAGAAUAAAUGAGCGAAAGGGGUAUGCAGAGGAUAAAAGCUAAUAGAAUAGAUAGCUUUUAUUCACAGCCGACAAAUAAAAAAAAAACGAAAAGAUACUUUGAUAAUGACUUGCAAAUCUUUUAGAAUUAAUUAAAAGUAAGCAGUUUAGAAAGUUCUUUUACGAAAGAAAAAGAUUACAAAAAACGGAUACAACACAGAAGUUAGGAUUAUCCGGCGUUUCAAUAUUGAUACACUACUUUAAAAGCUACUAAUAUAUUCUAUAUUGUUUGUAACGUGUUUUCAUUCAACUAGUAUGAAAUCAAAUCCCUUGUUUAUCAUGGACUUCUUAUUAAGAGAAAACAUUUAGUUUAACUAUGAUAUGAGAACCGGGAAAUACAUCUAUGUGCCCAUGUUUUUUAUGUUUGCAUUUGGAAUGCAUCACAUGGUUUCUCGUAAGCAAGCAUCUUACUCAGCAACUUUAUUCAUUGUCUUGGACAUCCUGUAGAAUAGAGAUUAUUUCAUGACACUCUUUAAAACACUACCAGCUUUCAUCUGUCUAGUUCUCCAGUUCAGUAGAACCAGGAAUUACGUCAAACUAAGUCACUUUCUUGCUCUAUUUUUCAUGAUGUAUGCCAAUGGAUUCAUGAACUAUGUCAUUUAUGCGAAUUGUAUCGCACUAUUAAUUGUGGUAAGGCGUAAUUUUGUCUAUAUUUUUAUAGCAAUUACAUUGUUGGUUUAUUUUACCUGUAUGUAAUUUGAUUUAUUGAUAACAUAUUUUUGGAUUCUGCUUUUUUAGAAUUAAUUCUUAAAAAUAACGUGUACUUAAACAUUUUAUAUACAUGACUAUUAUUCACAUAAUAAACAAUUAAUUUACAGCAAA